GACGAACGCUGGCGGCGUGCUAAUACAUGCAAGUAGAACGCUGAAGGAGGAGCUUGCUCUUCUGGAUGAGUUGCGAACGGGUGAGUAACGCGUAGGUAACCUGCCUGGUAGCGGGGGAUAACUAUUGGAAACGAUAGCUAAUACCGCAUAAGAGUAGAUGUCGCAUGACAUUUGCUUAAAAGGUGCAAUUGCAUCACUACCAGAUGGACCUGCGUUGUAUUAGCUAGUUGGUGAGGUAACGGCUCACCAAGGCAACGAUACAUAGCCGACCUGAGAGGGUGAUCGGCCACACUGGGACUGAGACACGGCCCAGACUCCUACGGGAGGCAGCAGUAGGGAAUCUUCGGCAAUGGACGGAAGUCUGACCGAGCAACGCCGCGUGAGUGAAGAAGGUUUUCGGAUCGUAAAGCUCUGUUGUAAGAGAAGAACGAGUGUGAGAGUGGAAAGUUCACACUGUGACGGUAUCUUACCAGAAAGGGACGGCUAACUACGUGCCAGCAGCCGCGGUAAUACGUAGGUCCCGAGCGUUGUCCGGAUUUAUUGGGCGUAAAGCGAGCGCAGGCGGUUAGAUAAGUCUGAAGUUAAAGGCUGUGGCUUAACCAUAGUACGCUUUGGAAACUAUUUAACUUGAGUGCAAGGGGGGAGAGUGGAAUUCCAUGUGUAGCGGUGAAAUGCGUAGAUAUAUGGAGGAACACCGGUGGCGAAAGCGGCUCUCUGGCUUGUAACUGACGCUGAGGCUCGAAAGCGUGGGGAGCAAACAGG
rnacentral:rRNA from 1 species